GAUGAACGCUGGCGGCGUGCCUAAUACAUGCAAGUCGAGCGAACAGACGAGGAGCUUGCUCCUCUGACGUUAGCGGCGGACGGGUGAGUAACACGUGGAUAACCUACCUAUAAGACUGGGAUAACUUCGGGAAACCGGAUCUAAUACCGGAUAAUAUAUUGAACCGCAUGGUUCAAUAGUGAAAGACGGGUUUGCUGUCACUUAUAGAUGGAUCCGCGCCGCAUUAGGUAGUUGGUAAGGUAACGGCUUACCAAGGAAACGAUGCGUAGCCGACCUGAGAGGGUGAUCGGCCACACUGGAGCUGAUACACGGUCCAGACUCCUACGGGAGGCAGCAGUAGCGAAUCGUCCGCAAUGGGCGAAAGCUUGACGGAGCAACGCCGCGUGAGUGAUGAAGGUCUUCGGAUCGUAAAACUCUGUUAUUAGGGAAGAACAAAUGUGUAAGUAACUAUGCACGUCUUGACGGUACCUAAUCAGAAAGCCACGGCUAACUACGUG
rnacentral:rRNA from 1 species